rnacentral:tRNA from 1 species
GGGGGUGUAGUUUAACGGAAAAGCGUUGAUCUCCAAAAUCAAAAUUGGGGGUUCGACUCCCCUCACCUCCA